AUGAAAAAUAAAUAGUGUGAAUAAUCUGUCAUGACAGCUUAUACAUUCAUGAUUUAUUAAGUAUAAGAUACCGUGAAUUGCCAUUAACCGUACUAUGAUAAUAAUUACACAAAAGAAAAUGUGAUUUAAAAAAAAUAAUAAACUUAAACAAAAGCUUUGAGGAAUGACUCGCGAAUGCGAGUCGGUGAAAACGUUUGAAGUUACUCAUAUUUACGCAAGAAAGCCUAAGAAUCGUCAAAAGUUGCGAUUUAUUUCUUCUUCGUAAAAACAAACAUUUUGCCAUGUGCGUGGAGUUUAUUGUAUUUUUGAGAUUCGCGAAACCGUUGGCACGAAUCAAUUCAUGCCAGCUCUUUUCCAAAGUUAGGUUAGAACUUUAAAGUGUAUCAUCGUUAUAUUAUUUAUUUAAGAGGUGAAUAUGGAUACCAAGUGCUCGACACGUAUACGUAUAAUAUUUAAUUAAAGAAAAUACCGACCCUACCUCUAAAAUUUUUAAUGAAAUGGAUAUGAUACCCAACAUCAGAAAUGAAAAAAAACACAGAGUCAUUGAUUUGCUUCGGCAGAGAGAAAUACAAGAAUCGGCCGCAUACUUGACAUCUCAGAAAUUACAUGUAACCGAGAAUUUUAUAGCACGUUUGGGAUUAGAAACAGAGUUAAAAGGACACGGAGGAUGCGUCAACUGCUUAGAAUGGAACGAAACAGGACAGACUUUGGCUUCGGCAUCAGAUGAUAUGCACAUCAUUUUAUGGGAUCCGUUUCGUUAUGAAAAGAAGCUGGUGCUACACACAGGUCAUAAUGGAAAUAUAUUUUCCGUAAAGUUUCUGCCAAAAUCGAAUGACUCGGUCCUAAUUUCUGGUGCAGGAGACAGUCGGAUACGAGUACAUGAUCUCACUUUAUCAGACACGAUACUCGCUUGUAAUUGUCACACUGGCCGAGUCAAGCGAAUUGCAACUGCGCCAAAUAUUCCCUACCUCUUUUGGAGUGCCGCUGAAGAUGGAAUUAUUAUGCAAUUCGAUAUGCGAGCACCGCACACGUGUAAAGUUGCCCAGGAGAAUAAUGUGCUUAUAAAUCUCGUGAACCAUGUGGGUCGAACUAUAGAAGCCAAAUGUAUAUCUGUGAACACAAGAAGGCCGGAAUUAAUCGCUGUGGGGGCGAACGAUCCUUACAUUAGGCUGUACGAUCGCCGGAUGAUCAAACUUUCUUCGAGACCGAUAAUUGAGCCUGCUCUUCCUCCUCCGACUCAAACCUGGGUACGAGCCGAUCAUAGUGAAAGACAACUUGAAGAAGGCGAUCCAGAACUUAACAAUGUGCCACUCGGAUGUGUGCAGUACUUUAUCGCUGGACACCUGCACUCUCGACAACGAGAUCACACUAGAAGUUUGUCCACGACCUACUUGACAUUCAGCAAUGACGGAAACGAGCUGCUGGUCAAUAUGGGUGGCGAGCAAAUUUAUCUUUUCGACAUCAAUGAAAGGAGAAAAGCCAAGUCAUUUAUAGCCCCUUUGGAUUCCAUCUCCGAUUCAAACGACAAGGAUCAAGACUACGAAAAUUAUUUCUUGGAUUCGAGCGAGGAUGAUGUUCAGGAUCUCUCUUUGAAAAAUGUAUCCGAAUUGCCACCUCAAGUUGAAGAAUUAAAGCAACAGGCAAACGAGAAUUUCGAAAAGGAAAAAUAUAGUUUAGCAAUUAAUUUAUAUAAUAAGGCAAUCAGUUUGUGCCAUAUGGCAGCGGUUCUUUAUGCCAAUAGAGCUGCAGCCUACAUGAAAAGAAAUUGGGAUGGCGAUACUUACGCUGCGUUACGCGAUUGUCAAAUGACUCUAAUGUUAGAUCCGGAGCAUAUAAAAGCACACUUUAGAUUAGCCCGUUGUUUGAACGAUUUAAACCGACCAACCGAGGCUUAUCACGUAAUUGAGAAGUUUCAGAAAAAAUUUCCCGAGUAUUCAAACAAUCAAUCGUGCCGAGCUUUGAAGAAGGACAUCAAAGAGGCCAUCAAUUCUGGUAAAGAAGCCGUGCAAUCUCCAACCCAAUUAUCACUUUUUGAAAAAAAAUGGAGAAUGAACGCGAAAGAUUAUAAACAAAGGUUUUGCGGACACUGCAAUACCACGACUGAUAUAAAGGAAGCAAAUUUCUUUGGAAACAAUGGGCAGUACAUAGUCGCUGGAUCCGAUGAUGGAUCGUUCUUUAUUUGGGAUCAGGUAACGACGAAUAUCGUACGCGUUCUCCGAGGAGACGAGAGAAUAGUAAACUGCCUGCAGCCCCAUCCUUCAACGUGUUUACUGGCCACUAGUGGUAUAGAUCCAGUAAUCAGACUGUGGAGUCCUUUACCGGAGGAUGGUGAAGCAAAUGAGCGUGAAAUUCAAAAUCCGGAUGAUGCCGCCUCCGCGAAUCAAAUACGUAUGAAUAGUGAUCCUUUCGAGUUAAUGUUGAUGAACAUGGGCUACCGGUUUCCCGGACAAAAUUCUAGCCUUGGAGAUGAUGGCGAUGGAGAAGGACUGCCCACCACUCGACCGCCAAUAGAUUCGUGUAGACCAAGUUAGAGGUUAUUCUGGGAAAAUUCUUGGUCAACCCGCUGGAUCCAUAAAAGUACGGGAACCUAUAGGUCAUAUUUUUACUUCAAAACAGUACAAAUCAGUUUGCACCAACCAAAAAUUGUAUGACGAGUCGAACGCAUUACAAGCUUAUUAUGACAAGGAGUACUUAAAAUUUAAUAACAGAGAAUAUAUUGAAAAAUCCAAAAAGUGUCGAAACGAUUACAACAUUUUUUCAUUAUCGAGAAAAUUGGUGAAAAAAAUUUGUAAUUCGCAAGCAGAUCAAUUAAAAAUUGCAGAAGCAGUUCAUAAACAUGUUUGCAGCGCGAUUUCCAGAAUCACUCAGGCCUGGCGUUAUGGUGGUUCAGCACAUAUGGAAUUGAUAUAUGUUUGAUCUUAUGAAUUGAAGUC